rnacentral:rRNA from 1 species
GACGAACGCUGGCGGCGUGCUUAACACAUGCAAGUCGAACGGAAAGGCCCUGCUCUUGUUCGUUUCUCGAUUGGCGAACGGGUGAGUAACACGUGAGUAACCUCCCCUUAACUUUGUGAUAACUUCAGGAAACUGGGGCUAAUACCGGGUAUGAUCUCCUGCUGCAUAGUGGGGGAUGGAAAGUUUCGGCUGUUGGGGAUGGACUCGCGGGUUAUCAGCUUGUUGGGGGGGUAGUGGCUUACCCAGGCUUUGACGGGUAGCCGGCCUGAGAGGGUGACCGGCCACAUUGGGACCGAGAUAAGGCCGCAACUGCGAAGGGAGGGAGCAGUGGGGAAUACUGACCAAUGGGCGGAAGGCUGAUGAAGAAACGCCGCGUGUGGUAUGACGGCCUUAGGGUUGUAAAACGCUUUCGCAUGUGACGAAGCGUGAGUGAAGGGAAUGGGUAAAGAAGGACCGGCUAAAUACGGG